UUUGGAAGACCUCCUUCUUCCUCACUCAUCUGCUCUUUCUCUCUCCUCAAAUCACUCACUUUCUCUACUCAAACUAGAAAAUUGUCAAUAGCUAAAACUCACGAGUGAUUUGCACAAGAAGAUUAGGGAGAACGAGGCCGAUGAGACGUUGUCUGAGCCUGAAAAGGCGAAGAAGCGUCAGAACCUUCUAGGUGCGGUUAGAUCUGGAGCAAGCAUCGAUUGCCCACAACCACCGUCGCCGCCGUCUUCAAUUUGAACCAAAUACAACAACAACAACAAACUUGAAUCAAUUAUUGAUUCAAAAAUCAAAAAUUUGAUGAUGGGGUUUCUAGGUUCUUUAGCUUUGCGUUUCGGUCCAAUUAUUCAGGGUUAGGGUUUUCUUAAUGGACCCAGUUGCUUCGGUUGUCGAUAAUUUAAAGUCAUGUGCAAAAUGCGGCCAAGAUCUUAUCACCGACAUCACUCGCCGCCGGCAGAAUUAGUCCCGUUAAAAUCCGGUACAAAGACGUCUUGCACAAAACUGUGAGGCUUCUCGCAAAAGUAGUAUGUGGAAAAAGGUCUAUAUUCGGCAAUUAGAGUUGAGCCAUUCAAAAUUGAUGCAAAUGGAGCAAGAGCUUGAACGAGUGAGAUAACAGGGUACGCUUGUGAGCAAUGGUAUUGACCCGCUUCCUUUCUCUGCCACCGUAAAUUCAGGGAUUGUUGCAUUUGAGAUGGAGUAUGGACAUUGGGUUGAGGAGCAGAAUAAACAGAUUUGCAAACUCAGAAGUGCAUUGAAUACCCAUAUAACCGAUGUAGAACUUCAGAUUUCGGUAGAUAGUGACAUGAAGCACUAUUAUGAUCUUUUUCAAUUGAAGGCAGGUGCAACAAAGGCCGACGUAUUCUAUCUCAUUUACUGAUGCAUUGAAUACCCAUAUAACCGAUGUUAAUCCUUGCACUGCAUAGAAUUAUAGAAGUAUUAUAUUGAAUUUUUUGGUUUGAGGAAUGGCGAGUCAAGAAGAAGUCAAUGAGCUUAAGGAGCAAAUGGCUAACGUUACUGAGGUGUUGAGGACUUUAACCCUCUAAAUCAAUGACCCUGUGAAGCAACAACGAAUGGAGCUCAUGCAAGAGAGAUUGAGCAAGAUAUCCAAUGACUACAGAUUCCAGGGCAUUAGCUCGCAAGGGGUCUCGGUGGACUAGGAGCUUCUUCCGCAGAAGUUCAAUGCCAACGACAUCCCAAAGUUUAAGGCAACAAACAACCCCUAUUUCCAUUUAAGAGCCUUUAAGACUAUAAUGAAUAUUAAGGGGAUUGAUAGGAAGGUCUUUCAUUCUUUAUUUUCUUUAUCUCUUGAAACCGUUUGUCAACAAUGGUUCUUUUCCCUUGAAAAAGAGAAAACCUCUACUUGGGAAUCUAUUGUAAACGCUUUCAUUGAUAGUUAUAAAUGUAAUAUUCAAAUUGAAACUGAUCAUAGAGAACUUAAAAUACUUAAGCAAAAAGAGAAUGAAGGUUUCAUAUCUUUCUUUAAUAAAU